rnacentral:misc_RNA from 1 species
UCAACAUUUCAACCCGUGAGUUAUGCAGGCAAAGGCAACAGCAAACUUUUGCCAAAGCAGAGAAAGAUCCCACAGAGCUAAAUAAAAGUCUACAAGAAAAUCAACAAAGAGCACUGCGAAGCGAUCAGUACAAGGAGAAGGUUGUUGGUGGUUUUCCCCAUGGCAGAGAGAACGACGACGGGGCGCUCCUCGGGGAACGUCAGGAUGAGGCCGGCCACCUCAGCCAUCCUCGCGGCCGACGACACCGAGGACCCCCCGAACUUCAUCACCACGCUGAGCUGAUCCCCCAAUCCCUCCAUCCCGAGCCCUCCGAGAACAGGCGCCCCAAGGACGCCGUCCCCGCCGUCCGCUUGCUUGGCCCGACGGCUGGUGGAGUCGGCGACCACCAUUGACAACCCUCUUGCACCGCGAGGCCCGGUUCGGGUACCGAAGCACGCCAGUCCUCGAACAUGUCCAGAGCUCGCCGGAGGUAUCGACGGAACGAGGCGGCGGGGCGCGGCAGCCGAUCGCACUGGGAUUGCCAUUUCUGAGUCCUCCUGCUCUGUCGGGCGUGGAGUGGAGACUGAUGACCAGUGGUGGGGAAGGCGGGUUUAUUGUUUUACGCAAUAGGGCCAUCGAGGCGGAAACCUAUGGGAG